rnacentral:rRNA from 1 species
UACGGAGGGUGCGAGCGUUGUCCGGAAUCAUUGGGCGUAAAGGGCGCGUAGGUGGCCCGGUCAGUCUUUGGUGAAAGCGCGGGGGCUCAACCCUGCGUCGGCCAGGGAUACUGCCGCGGCUCGAGCACUGUAGAGGCAGGCGGAAUUCCGGGUGUAGCGGUGGAAUGCGUAGAGAUCCGGAAGAACACCGGUGGCGAAGGCGGCCUGCUGGGCAGUUUAGCUGACACUGAGGCGCGACAGCGUGGGGAGCAAACAGG